rnacentral:lncRNA from 1 species
GUGGGGGCCAGGGCGAGGGGCGGCGCCACCACGGUCCGCAUCGUCGCAGACGGGACGGGGCGCCCGGCUCCCCAGCCGCGCUUGCUCGUCCACGAAAUGGGCGGAAAUGAAGUCUCCCCACCGGGGUGCGCCCGGGGGCGUUGCUUUCUUUCCUUCUUCCGCCUCCUUCCCUAGACCCCCGGCCAUCCCCGGCUCCUGGGGGACCCCACGGCACCUCUCACAGACCCCGCGGCCUAGAGGCGUGGCCACACCACGUGGGCAGACUGUCACUCACACACACACACACACACACACACCCAGCGCCCCAGGGACGUGUCCGCCUCCUGGACCCCCAACGCGUCCCCCCAGGCCCCGGGGACUGACAGCGCCCCACGGAGGCCCUCGAAGGCUGAGGCUCUGUGUCCCCCUAGACGAGGCCGCGGUCCAGCCCGCCGCUCCUGAGCUCGUCCCUUACCGGCUCUUCCUCUCGACCCCUCCCGGCCGUGCCCGACGGAGGGGCCCACCUCUCACUGCCUCUUUGUGAUCCAAGCGGCGUUUCUGGCCAUUUGGGUUUGAUGCGUCUUUUCCCAAGUUUUCUUAACUUUUUUGAAUGACCUUUCCAUCAGGACUCAAGUCUGAGACAAAGGAACAAGCUACAUAAAACUUCAGGCCGUCUCUUCUUCCCUGGAGUUGGCCAUAUCGCCUGCGUUUCUGUCCUUCAGUGAGAAGGGCUCUGUGAGCCACACAGAGCAGUUGAGCGUGUCUCAUCUCAUGCAAUCCUCACAACCACCCCGCCAGGCGCGCGCGAGGCUGGCAGUUCGUGGGUGAGGCUGCCGGACUCUCAGAGGGGCCCAGCCAGGGCUGGUUGGAACAAGCUCUGGCUUGUGACCCGGGUCCUCGCCUCCCACCGCCUCAGCUGCCCCCCUCGGCUGCUGGCCUCUUCCCUGGGGGCAUUUGCUGUGUCUGAAAGCAGGUGUGGGCAGCAUCAACGUUGUGUAAGGCUGCUAACCCGGCCUACAAGCCCCAUGCUGGCUUUCUGCCCUUGAGCUCUUCAUCCCUCAGCCCCUUUCCUUGGGCAGAAAUCGCUCCGUGUCCGGUGGAUCAGCUCAUUCACGAUUUGGCCUCCAUGUUCCCUCUGUUCUGGAAUUGCUCCGGCCCCACCUAGGGUGUGAUUCCAGAACCAGCAGCAGCGCCAGCGCGGGGGGAACCUGUUGGAAAUGCAAAUUACCAUGCCCACCCCACUGCUGAGUGGGACUCUCUGGCGGGCGGGGCUCAGCAAUCUCUGCUUCAACAUGCCUUCCAGGAGGCCAAGACCUGACAGACUGAGGUGAUAACAAGGAAAAAGAAAAGCUGUCGAACCACACCACUCAUCUGUCAGUAGCCAGGCUGUGGCAGCGGUCAUCCUUCUGGGACCUCCUAGGCUCUCUGGGGGCAGGACUCUGGCUGUAUGGUGAUAGAAGAUCGCUAUGAUGAAGGUCAACCUUGUGGAUGAUACUUUUUUGCUGGGCCAAUUACUUUGCAUAAAGCCGGAAAAUGAUUCAUCUGUGUAGUCCAGCUUAGCAGGUCCUCAGCAGAGAACACCUUUAGAAAGCGACGGAGAGGGUGAAAUCGAUUUUCCUAUGAGGGUAUACAUUUCUGCGUCCUCACCAUAUGCAGUUGGAUGAGUUAUAAGCACACAUGCCCAUUACUUCUAUUCAGUUUGACACACUUAGAAUAAAUGGCCAGGCUUUAGAGCUGCUUCUGUUUUAUCUUUGUAGUUCUGGGCCCAAGAAGGCAAACUCUUUCAGUUUUAGUUCCUGUGUCUUCAAGGCUGUACCCUUGAGUUUUGGCAGAAAGUCCUUAAGGAUUCCGGGCUGCUGUGCCCCUGGGGCUUCGAACUUCCAGAACUUUCUCCCAUUCCAUUCUCUUUUUUUCUGGGCUCACGGAUCCUCAUCUCCUUUGAAAUCCCUGUGGAUAAGAUGGUGAAACACAGGCUGGAAGCCACUGAGAUCUGAGAGCUGAGCAACUAGUUGAACAACUGUGCCUAAAGGUGUCCCAGAAGCAGAUGGGUGUUAACUGAAUGGGGUCUGCAAGGGAGGCCCUGGCUGCCCUUGGCACUUCCUUGUUCUAUAUUUGUGUCUGCAACAGCUGAAUUCGGACAUGACCUGGGUAUAGAAAACAUAUUAGCCUAAUAGUUAAGAAUAUGGGCUGGCACCAAACCGCUGGGUUGAAGUCCGGCACUGCCACACACUAGCUAGUUGUCCUGGAGCAAGUUAUUUAACUUCCCUAUGCCUCAGUUUACUCAUCUAUAUAAUGGGAAUCCUAAUAGUUUCCACUUUAGAAUUGUUGCGAGGAUUGAGAGUUAAGCACCUAGAAUUUACUGUUCCUGUGUUGGUCGUUGUUACAACAGUUGUUGGGUGUAGUUGUAAUAACAGGGAGUUGCAACACUAGCAGGUGGGAGGGGGAGUAAAUGCACCAGCUGACAAAAUGGGAUCCAGAAUAUCUCACUAAGUCACGGUGAUGGGCAAAUUUAACAAUAAAGCUGACUGCUGUGCCCCCAACAGCACAGGAUGAGAAAAACAUGGUUUUGCAGUAGUACAGGAGAAAAUGAUGUGAGGGAUCGUUCCAUAGUAAAUUUAAUAGGAAUCAACUCAAGUGGUGGGUUACCAUACAAAAAAAACUUACAUAAUCUCCCCCCGUGUCCCUUAGAUGUGGGUGAUUGGAAGGGGGAGGGCACCGGCCUUAGCCUGGACAGGCAGACCACACCUGGACAAAUUUGGGGUGCCCACUGUGAAGGGAGUCUAGACAGGCAGGAAUGCGUGCAGAGGAGAGUGAGCUGAUCCUGCAGGGGCUGGAAGGCAUGUGACUCAGUAAGCGAUGCCACCUGUGGUAACAAACAAGUCCCUAACCACAGAGACGGAACACAGUCGUUAAUUACUUGCUCACCUAACCGAUGUUCUGACGUAGGGGUGAGCCAUCCUCCAGCAGUGGGCCAGGGCACCUCCCUUUGUGCUGAAAGAGUGUGGAGACUAUAAGUGGAAGGCGUGUAUGGGUCAGGUCUGGAAAUGGCCACACGCAUUCACUCACAUUCUAGAGCCCCUGUGGUCACACCUGCAGGAGAUGCUAGGUAGUGCAGUCUGGCCAUGAGGCCAGCAGAAGAGACGCACUUGGCGAUCAGCCACUGGCAUCUGCCACUCUACGAAUUGUGAAGAAGGUCCAAGAAGCAGGACGCUGAGCCCGAGAAGAGUGGGAGGGCUUAAGAUGUGUCUCCAAACAUUGGAAAGGUCUCUUUGUAAAAGAGAGGAUCAUCUUUGUUGGUGUCACUUCAGAGGGCAGAAGCAGAACCUGUGGAUGGAGAGAUCUAGGGAGGCUGGUGGGGUGAACGACCAUCCUAGUUUGCCUGGACUGUCUGGUUUUAGCAAUGAAAGCCUACCUCCUGGGAAACCCAUCCGAUGACAUCAGAUGACGUUGGUCAUCCCAGCGUGGCCAACUUUGGGUUGACACAGGUGUGUCUAUCCUAGGAGCUAUCCCGGGCAACACUCCUUCCCCCGUCCCCCCACUCAUUUAGAUAUGAGUGACAGUGUUGUUGGCCGUCAGUUCAAUGUUAAUGAGCCAACAAUAGAUGUUAAAUAAGGUGUCUUUAAAGAGAAGUACAUUGAUUGACUGAUGAAAAUGUUGCAGCCAGAGGUUUGCAGGAACCUAACCCAGUGUUUCCCCUAGGAGCGAUGGUGCAGUAUUCGCUAAUUCCAUUUCAUGGUGACUUUAUAGAACAUAGCUACUGAAGAUAACAAGAAUUGACUUUAUAUCCAUACAAUGGAAUAUUUUCGGCCAUAAAAAGAAAAGAAGUCCUGAUGCAUGCCACAACAUGGAUGAACCUUGGAAACAUUUUGCUGAGUGAAGUCAGUCACAAAAGACCAUGUUUUGUGAUUCAAUUUUAUGAAAUGUUCACAAUAGGGAAAUCUCUAGAGACAGAAAGAUUAGUGGUUGCUUGGGGCUGGCCGAUGGAGGGGAGAGGGAGAGUUAGAGGGGAACAAUAGCCCCGGGGUACAGGGUUUCUUUUUGGGUGAUAAAAAUUGUCUGAAAUUGACUUUGUGAUGGUUGCACAUAUCUAUGGCUAUACAAAAACACUGAAUUGUAUACUUUAAAUGGGUGAAUUGUAUGGUAUGUGAAUUAUAUCUCAAUAAAGC